rnacentral:rRNA from 1 species
AGCGAACGCUGGCGGCAGGCCUAACACAUGCAAGUCGAACGGACUCUUCGGAGUUAGUGGCGGACGGGUGAGUAACACGUGGGAACGUGCCUUUAGGUUCGGAAUAGCUCCUGGAAACGGGUGGUAAUGCCGAAUGUGCCCUUCGGGGGAAAGAUUUAUCGCCUUUAGAGCGGCCCGCGUCUGAUUAGCUAGUUGGUAAGGUAAUGGCUUACCAAGGCGACGAUCAGUAGCUGGUCUGAGAGGAUGACCAGCCACAUUGGGACUGAGACACGGCCCAAACUCCUACGGGAGGCAGCAGUGGGGAAUCUUGCGCAAUGGGCGAAAGCCUGACGCAGCCAUGCCGCGUGAAUGAUGAAGGUCUUAGGAUUGUAAAAUUCUUUC